rnacentral:rRNA from 1 species
CCCAGACUCCUACGGGAGGCAGCAGCGAGGAAUAUUGGUCAAUGGUCGGGAGACUGAACCAGCCAAGCCGCGUGAGGGAUGAAGGUACAGAGUAUCGUAAACCUCUUUUGCCAGGGAACAAAGGCGGGGACGUGUCCCCGGAUGAGUGUACCUGAAGAAAAAGCAUCGGCUAACUCCGUGCCAGCAGCCGCGGUAAUACGGAGGAUGCGAGCGUUAUCCGGAUUUAUUGGGUUUAAAGGGUGCGUAGGCGGAAUAUCAAGUCAGCGGUAAAAAGUCGGGGCUCAACCCCGUCGUGCCGUUGAAACUGAUGUUCUUGAGUGGGCGAGAAGUAUGCGGAAUGCGUGGUGUAGCGGUGAAAUGCAUAGAUAUCACGCAGAACUCCGAUUGCGAAGGCAGCAUACCGGCGCCCAACUGACGCUGAAGCACGAAAGCGUGGGUAUCGAACAGGAUUAGAUACCCUGGUAAU